UACAGAGGGUGCGAGCGUUAAUCGGAAUUACUGGGCGUAAAGAGCGCGCAGGCGGUCGUUCAAGUCGCGUGUGAAAGCCCCCGGCUCAACUGGGGAGGGUCACGCGAUACUGAUCGACUCGAAGGCAGGAGAGGGUAGUGGAAUUCCCGGUGUAGUGGUGAAAUGCGUAGAUAUCGGGAGGAACACCAGUGGCGAAGGCGACUACCUGGCCUGUUCUUGACGCUGAGGCGCGAAAGCUAGGGGAGCAAACGGGG
rnacentral:rRNA from 1 species